rnacentral:rRNA from 1 species
AACCGCUGGUGUUCGGGUUGUUUUGCCAAAGGCAUUGCCCGGUAGCUACGUUCGGAAUCGAUAACCGCUGAAAGCAUCUAAGCGGGAAGCGAGCCUCGAGAUGAGUUCUCACUUGGAGUUUAACUCCACUGAAGGGCCGUUGAAGACUACAACGUUGAUAGGCGAGAUGUGGAAGUGGUGUGAGCCAUUGAGCUAACUCGUACUAAUUACC